rnacentral:ncRNA from 1 species
GAACUCGGCAAAAUACUAGCGUAACUUCGGAAGAAGCUAGACCUUAAUAAAGGUGUCACUAAAGAGAGAACGACAACUGGUUAUUAAAACCACAGGGCUUUGCAAAGUGGAAACACUGCGUAUAAAGCCUGACGCCUGCCCGGUGCCGGGAGAUAAGUCUAGUAUAUGCAAGUAUAUAAACAGAAGGACCGGUAAACGGCAGCCAUAACUCUGGUGCGACUUGAUAAGCUAAUAUAAUAAUAUGGUGAAAUUCCAUAAUUAGAGCCAACCUAAUUAACCUACUAGAACAUGCAAUACGAGUAAUUGAAUUGUGUGAAGCUUCUAGAAC